rnacentral:rRNA from 1 species
CCUACGGGAGGCUGCAGUGAGGAAUAUUGGUCAAUGGACGAGAGUCUGAACCAGCCAAGUAGCGUGAAGGAUGACUGCCCUAUGGGUUGUAAACCUCUUUUAUAUGGGAAUAAAACGUUCCACGUGUGGGAUUUUGUAUGUACCAUAUGAAUAAGGAUCGGCUAACUCCGUGCCAGCAGCCGCGGUAAUACGGAGGAUCCGAGCGUUAUCCGGAUUUAUUGGGUUUAAAGGGAGCGUAGGUGGAUUGUUAAGUCAGUUGUGAAAGUUUGCGGCUCAACCGUAAAAUUGCAGUUGAAACUGGCAGUCUUGAGUACAGUAGAGGUGGGCGGAAUGCGUGGUGUAGCGGUGAAAUGCUUAGAUAUCACGAAGAACUCCGAUUGCGAAGGCAGUUCACUGGACUGCAACUGACACUGAGGCUCGAAAGUGUGGGUAUCAAACAGGAUUAGAUACCCUUGUAGUC